UACAGAGGGGGCGAGCGUUGUUCGGAAUUACUGGGCGUAAAGGGCGCGUAGGCGGCCUCUUAAGUCGAACGUGAAAUCCCCGGGCUCAACCCGGGAACUGCGUCCGAUACUGGGGGGCUUGAAUCCGGGAGAGGGAUGUGGAAUUCCAGGUGUAGCGGUGAAAUGCGUAGAUAUCUGGAGGAACACCGGUGGCGAAGGCGGCAUCCUGGACCGGUAUUGACGCGUGAGGCGCGAAAGCCAGGGGAGCAAACGGGG
rnacentral:rRNA from 1 species